AGGUCACUUUCAUGAAAAAUGGCGAAACUAGUUACUCUUUUUAGCAGAAAAUCAGGAUAUGAAAUUCCUCGCAACUUUAAUCUCUCCCUUCUUUGUCUUCCCAUAUAAAAUCCAUCAAAUUGCAGAUUUUCUCAUAUAAUUCUGGUGGGUUGUUCUUGUAAUAAUCCAUACACUGAUACACCCAAUUCAAUUGUGAUUGUGAAUGCUGGCUCAAAUGCAAUUGCAAUGUUGUGGUCCCAAAUUACCUGCAACUUCCUUCCGUAAUUUCCCUUCUACCAGGAAGGUGGUUGAUAUCAUCCAAGUUAGUAAAGAUGACUCUACCAAGUCGAAUGUAAAAAGGGCUCUUUUAGCUGCCCGGAAGAAGGAUAGAAUCGAGUUGCCUUUUCGUGAGAAUGCUCGUGUUGGCGAAAUGUAUCACAUUAGUCAAUUUUUUAAGCAUCCAAUGGGAGUUGAAGCAAUGUUGAAUAUUAAUGCUCUGGAAAAUUAUGUAUUGAUCGAUGUCAACACAUAUAGGUGCAAGCUUCCACCAAUCCAGCUUUUGAACUUUGAAGUGGCCCCUGUGCUGGACUUGGAAGUGAGUCCAGCCAGUGAAUGGUGUACUGUUGAGCUGUUGUCAUGUAAGUUUGAAGGCUCAGAAAUAGUGCAGAAUCAGAACAAGUAUUUCUCAGGUUGGCUUGAACACAAAUCUAGUUGCCGCACUAAAUCAACCAUGAAGAAUUUCAUAAGUUGGGACAAAACUGGUUCAGGGUCGUUUCUGGAUGUUGAUGUGAAGUUGAAUAUCAAUCUCGAGAUUUACAAUCAGCCCUUUACUCUGCUGCCUGUAUCUGCUAUUGAAUCCCCUGGAAACGUAGUUUUGCAGGCACUCCUGGAUAGAUUUGUUCCACUUCUCUUGCAGCAACUGUUACAAGACUAUGAUGCUUGGGUUAAACAACAAAGUAAAUAUCUUCCAUAAUUCGAGGUUGCAAGCUGUAUAUAUAUAGAUGGUACAUAUACUUAUAAAUCGAAGUGCUUCAUUAUGUUUUUCAGAUCAUCAUCCACCUCGGCUUAGUUAAUAAGUGUAUCACAAUGUAAGUUCGCUUACACGACAUCUAUAGAUAACAAUUCAGUCUUGAUCCCAGUCAGGUUGAUCAAGUUGGAAACUUCAAAGAUGGUCAAGAAUGAGCUUAAUUGGUCGAGUUCCAGAUAGAAUUACAGUGCUGGAUAAAUUGUGUAAGGAGUAAUGUCAGAAACGUGCAUGAGUGACUUUGCAGAUAACCUGGGCUGCUGUAACCUGCAGGUAUUUGGAGCCAAAUAGGUGGUGUCAUGGUGUGUUGCAUUCUUCACAUUUAUACAGGUCCUUCGUACCAAGUGUUUCCUGACACUUCUCGGAUGUACUUACCUGAAAAGACAACCUCGCAAGUGGAGGAGCUUCUUGGAAGCUUGAACAAAGACGUACACAACUUAUGUUCGACCCAUAGUUUCAUGGCUUCUUUCCUCUCAUCCUUGCUUGUGGAUACAUAUUUUCUAUGACGCGACAUUUCAAUGCACAACUUCUUUAGCACACUUGCAUAGCUUAUAAUGUACUCUAUCAUCUUCACAUCAUCAUAGCACCCAAUGAGUCCACUGAUUGUAACCGUCUUGAGCUUACUCGUCAAACAGUCCGGUACCAAAUCC